rnacentral:lncRNA from 1 species
CCUUCAGUCUUGUGCCUACGUACCAACAUAAAAAUGAGGGAUCAAAACCUCGUAGUUCGUGAUACAAAUUUCAAAGUGGAUGCAUUGCUUUUAACAAAAAUUAAGUUUGAAAGGUACAAAGGCCUAAAAAUGUUUUGAAUGAGUUAGUUCUUUUUUGACUUUUUGAAAGUUUAAGCCAAGUAUAAUUACAUUUAUUCACAAGUUUGAUUUAAGAAAAGCAGUUUGAAAAAUGCAAUGGCAUAAGGC